AUACCCUAUUAUUUAAAAUGUAAAUAGUUUACUAGAGUAGUAAUAGUUAUGGUCUUGAAACUAAAAAAAUUUGGCGGUAUUUUAGUCUUUUUAGAGGAAUCUGUUACAUAAUCGAUAUUCCACGAUGGACCUCACUUAAUUUUGUUUUUCAGUUUGUAUAUCGCUGUUAUAGAAUAUUUUAUAAGAAUAAUAAUUUUCAAUAAAUUUUAUAAAAUUGUAUAUCAAGUCAAGGUGCAGUUUAUAAUUAAGGUGUAAAUGGAUUACAAUAAAUAUAUUUAAACGGAAUAAUAAUUGAAAUAUUAUUAGUAAGGUGGAUUUAAAGGUAAAUUUUUAAAGAUUAAAAAAUUGAUUUUAGCUCUAAAAUAUGUACACAUCGC
rnacentral:rRNA from 1 species